rnacentral:rRNA from 1 species
CCCUUAGAUGUUCUGGGCCGCACGCGUGCUACACUGAGUAAUUCAAUGGGUAAGGGAACGCUAGAGCAUUACCUAAUCUUGAAAUUUGCUCGUGAUGGGGAUCGACGGUUGCAAUUUUCCGUCGUGAACGAGGAAUACCUUGUAGGCGCAUGUCAUCAUCAUGCGCCGAAUACGCCCCUGCCCUUUGUACACACCGCCCGUCGCUCCUACCGAUUGAAUGAUCCGAUGAAUACCAUGGAUUGAGAGUACGAAUAGGUUCGCUUAUUUCUGCUUCUCGAGAAGUGGAGUAAAUCUUAUCAUUUAGAGGAAGGAGAAGUCGUAACA